rnacentral:miRNA from 1 species
UUACUUUGGCAGCGCUGUGCU